rnacentral:tRNA from 1 species
GCGGGGGUGCCCGAGCCAGGUUAAAGGGGGCGGACUCAAGACAGGGCCAACAUAUAGUGGUUCGGCCCAGGGGAGAUCCGCUGGCGUAGGCCUGCGUGGGUUCAAAUCCCACCCCCCGCA